rnacentral:rRNA from 1 species
GGAAAGGCGCGCGAUACAGGGUGACAGCCCCGUACACAAAAAUGCACAUGCUGUGAGCUCGAUGAGUAGGGCGGGACACGUGGUAUCCUGUCUGAAUAUGGGGGGACCAUCCUCCAAGGCUAAAUACUCCUGACUGACCGAUAGUGAACCAGUACCGUGAGGGAAAGGCGAAAAGAACCCCGGCGAGGGGAGUGAAAAAGAACCUGAAACCGUGUACGUACAAGCAGUGGGAGCACGCUUAGGCGUGUGACUGCGUACCUUUUGUAUAAUGGGUCAGCGACUUAUAUUCUGUAGCAAGGUUAACCGAAUAGGGGAGCCGAAGGGAAACCGAGUCUUAACUGGGCGUUAAGUUGCAGGGUAUAGACCCGAAACCCGGUGAUCUAGCCAUGGGCAGGUUGAAGGUUGGGUAACACUAACUGGAGGACCGAACCGACUAAUGUUGAAAAAUUAGCGGAUGACUUGUGGCUGGGGGUGAAAGGCCAAUCAAACCGGGAGAUAGCUGGUUCUCCCCGAAAGCUAUUUAGGUAGCGCCUCGUGAAUUCAUCUCCGGGGGUAGAGCACUGUUUCGGCAAGGGGGUCAUCCCGACUUACCAACCCGAUGCAAACUGCGAAUACCGGAGAAUGUUAUCACGGGAGACACACGGCGGGUGCUAACGUCCGUCGUGAAGAGGGAAACAACCCAGACCGCCAGCUAAGGUCCCAAAGUCAUGGUUAAGUGGGAAACGAUGUGGGAAGGCCCAGACAGCCAGGAUGUUGGCUUAGAAGCAGCCAUCAUUUAAAGAAAGCGUAAUAGCUCACUGGUCGAGUCGGCCUGCGCGGAAGAUGUAACGGGGCUAAACCAUGCACCGAAGCUGCGGCAGCGACGCUGAUGCGUUGUUGGGUAGGGGAGCGUUCUGUAAGCCUGCGAAGGUGUGCUGUGAGGCAUGCUGGAGGUAUCAGAAGUGCGAAUGCUGACAUAAGUAACGAUAAAGCGGGUGAAAAGCCCGCUCGCCGGAAGACCAAGGGUUCCUGUCCAACGUUAAUCGGGGCAGGGUGAGUCGACCCCUAAGGCGAGGCCGAAAGGCGUAGUCGAUGGGAAACAGGUUAAUAUUCCUGUACUUGGUGUUACUGCGAAGGGGGGACGGAGAAGGCUAUGUUGGCCGGGCGACGGUUGUCCCGGUUUAAGCGUGUAGGCUGGUUUUCCAGGCAAAUCCGGAAAAUCAAGGCUGAGGCGUGAUGACGAGGCACUACGGUGCUGAAGCAACAAAUGCCCUGCUUCCAGGAAAAGCCUCUAAGCAUCAGGUAACAUCAAAUCGUACCCCAAACCGACACAGGUGGUCAGGUAGAGAAUACCAAGGCGCUUGAGAGAACUCGGGUGAAGGAACUAGGCAAAAUGGUGCCGUAACUUCGGGAGAAGGCACGCUGAUAUGUAGGUGAGGUCCCUCGCGGAUGGAGCUGAAAUCAGUCGAAGAUACCAGCUGGCUGCAACUGUUUAUUAAAAACACAGCACUGUGCAAACACGAAAGUGGACGUAUACGGUGUGACGCCUGCCCGGUGCCGGA